GUGGGGAAUAUUGGACAAUGGGCGAAAGCCUGAUCCAGCCAUGCCGCGUGUGUGAAGAAGGUCUUCGGAUUGUAAAGCACUUUAAGUUGGGAGGAAGGGCAGUAAGUUAAUACCUUGCUGUUUUGACGUUACCGACAGAAUAAGCACCGGCUAACUUCGUGCCAGCAGCCGCGGUAAUACGAAGGGUGCAAGCGUUAAUCGGAAUUACUGGGCGUAAAGCGCGCGUAGGUGGUUUUGUAAGUUGGAGGUGAAAUCCCCGGGCUCAACCUGGGAACUGCCUCCAAAACUGCAUGACUAGAGUACGGUAGAGGGUAGUGGAAUUUCCUGUGUAGCGGUGAAAUGCGUAGAUAUAGGAAGGAACACCAAUGGCGAAGGCGACUACCUGGACUGAUACUGACACUGAGGUGCGAAAGCGUGGGGAGCAAACAGGAUUAGAUACCCGGGUAGUCC
rnacentral:rRNA from 1 species